rnacentral:rRNA from 1 species
GACAGAGGCCUCAAGCGUUAGGCGGAAUCACUGGGCUUAAAGCGUGUGUAGGCGGGUCGUUAAGUACCUUGUGAAAUCCCCACGGCUCACCCGUGGAACUGCUGGGUAUGACUGGCGAUCUUGGGCCAACUAGGGGCAACUGGAACAAGCGGUGGGAGCGGUGAAAUGCGUAGAUAUCGCUUGGAACGCCAAAGGUGAAAACAGGUUGCUGGGGUUGUG